rnacentral:rRNA from 1 species
UACAGAGGUGGCGAGCGUUGUUCGGAUUUACUGGGCGUAAAGGGCGCGUAGGCGGCCCCGUGUGUCGUGUGUGAAAUCCCGGGGCUCAACCCCGGAACUGCAUUGGAAACUGCGCAGCUCGAGUAUCGGAGAGGUAAGCGGAAUUCCUAGUGUAGCGGUGAAAUGCGUAGAUAUUAGGAGGAACACCGGCGGCGAAGGCGGCUUACUGGACGAAGACUGACGUUGAGGCUCGAAAGCGUGGGGAGCAAACAGGAUUAGAUACCCGGGUAGUCCCUGAGCGGG